rnacentral:rRNA from 1 species
AGUGAACGCUGGCGGUAGGCCUAACACAUGCAAGUCGAACGGCAGCACAGUAAGAGCUUGCUCUUACGGGUGGCGAGUGGCGGACGGGUGAGGAAUACAUCGGAAUCUACUUUUUCGUUGGGGUUAACGUAGGGAAACUUACGCUAUUACCUCAUACGACCUUCGGUUGAAAGCAGGGGAUCUUCGGACCUUGCGCGAUUGAUUGAGCCGAUGUCGGAUUAGCUAGUUGGCGGGGUAAAGGCCCACCAAGGCGACGAUCCGUAGCUGGUCUGAGAGGAUGAUCAGCCACACUGGAACUGAGAAACGGUCCAGACUCCUACGGGAGGCAGAAGUGGGGAAUAUUGGACAAUGGGCGCAAGCCUGAUCCAGCCAUACCGCGUGGGUGAAGAAGGCCUUCGGGUUGUAAAGCCCUUUUGUUGGGAAAGAAAAGCAGCAGGUUAAUACCCCGCUGUUCUGACGGUACCCAAAGAAUAAGCACCGGCUAACUUCGUG